GUUUUAUCAUAUAACAAAACGACAUAACGCUCAACAGCAUUGAAAAGGUCUUCGCUCGGGUCGUCUUGAUUGCAAAGUGAUAACCUAACAAAAUUUAAAAGUGAGGGAAUAUUAACCUUUCCUGUUUUGCCUUAUUGUAAAACACAGAAAAUGUAUUCAAAAACUUAAAGCCUUUAAAGAUCUAGCUUGUAAACGUUUCCGUGAUUUCAGGAAACGAUUUCCAGGUAUUCCAGCUUCCCUUUACCACAAAAGGCAGAAACGGUAUCACAUCCUGUGAAAGCAAACGAAAAGCGCAAACCACCACAUAAAUUUCGUCCCAGACUAGUUGCAUAUUCAUGAACUGGCAACCAACGCCUGUUUGUUCCAACACCAAAUUCGAU